rnacentral:rRNA from 1 species
UACGUAGGGUGCGAGCGUUAAUCGGAAUUACUGGGCGUAAAGCGUGCGUAGGCGGUUCUCCAAGUCCGUUGUGAAAGCCCCGGGCUCAACCUGGGAAUGGCAGUGGAAACUAGGGGACUGGAAUCUGGCAGAGGGGGGUGGAAUGCCGCGUGUAGCAGUGAAAUGCGUAGAGAUGCGGCGGAACACCGAUGGCGAAGGCAGCCCCCUGGGCUGAGAUUGACGCUCAGGUACGAAAGCGUGGGGAGCAAACAGG